rnacentral:rRNA from 1 species
GACGAACGCUGGCGGCGUGCUUAACACAUGCAAGUCGAACGGAAAGGCCCUGCUUUUGUGGGGUGCUCGAGUGGCGAACGGGUGAGUAACACGUGAGUAACCUGCCCUUGACUUUGGGAUAACUUCAGGAAACUGGGGCUAAUACCGGAUAGGAGCUCCUGCUGCAUGGUGGGGGUUGGAAAGUUUCGGCGGUUGGGGAUGGACUCGCGGCUUAUCAGCUUGUUGGUGGGGUAGUGGCUUACCAAGGCUUUGACGGGUAGCCGGCCUGAGAGGGUGACCGGCCACAUUGGGACUGAGAUACGGCACAGACUCCUACGGGAGGCAGCAGUGGGGAAUAUUGCACAAUGGGCGGAAGCCUGAUGCAGCAACGCCGCGUGCGGGAUGACGGCCUUCGGGUUGUAAACCGCUUUCACCUGUGACGAAGCGUGAGUGACGGUAAUGGGUAAAGAAGCACCGGCUAACUACGUG